CUCCGCAGGGAGCCGCACACAGGCCGGGGCUCCUUGAUGGACGGACAUCCUGGGGCGGGGCUGCGAUUUUUAAAUGCUGGUUCUGGGCCUCUCCUUCUUGACUCAUUUCCUCUCCCCGAGCCCUUUUCUGCAGAAAACAGCGGGACGACAGCCGUCGCUGAACAGAAAGCUGGUGCUCGCUUCUUCCUGGCCUCUCCAAAGAGACACCAAGAAAGACGCAACACUCAGAUUCAACCUGGGAUGCAGUGGACAUCAAAAUUUCACCCUUUCACUCUCCGGGACCCAAACUAUGGGCACAGAUCCAGAAAUACAUUGUACUUACAGUUCAUUAGGCGAAAAUGCCUAAUAGUAGUUCAGAUUAUGGGUUAAAACAUUCUUGGGCUCUUUGAGAGCAAGCUGUAGGAGCAGUAAGCUUAAUUUUCCAAGUUAGUUGUCAAAGAUCCUUGACUUGAGUCUGCAAGAAUUGAAACACCCCCAUCCUCCUGUGAGCAUUGCCUUCUUGCUGAGCCACAUCCUCUGGACAGUCUCAUUCAGAACCUCUCCAUCUUUCUCGCCUCCUGGUAGAGAAAGAUGCAGAGGCAAGAGAGACUAGAAACAGGUCUUCGGCUUGGCCUGAGCAAACAGACCAGUGGCGAAACAAGGACCCGAAGAGCUGACUCUAAAGUCACUGCUGUACUCCAGUGACAGGACAGACCCCAGGGCGUCCAGUGCUCUUGCCAAAGGAGUUGCCUCUUGAAGUUUGUCCAUAGACUGACCGCAAAGCUGCUGUGAGUUUUCAUAUAUGAGAAGAAAGAAAUGUAAAAAAUAAAAACAAACAAAACCCCACUCCUUGUCCUUUCCCAGACUUUUUAAUCAAUCCUCUGUCGCGUGUGACAGCUUCCUCUUCUGCAUAUGAAGUCUUAAAAGUUCUGCUUCUUACCGACUCCUAUCCUUCUGGUGAACUGCAUCCUUGAAGACUUACCAAAACGUUACUAAUUGGCAACGCUUUCUCGGGCCUUCUCUGGCCAGAAAAAGGGAACCCACUGGACUUGGACCUGAACCUCACUCUUGCACAAACAGUCACUCAUCAGUCCCAAUUAAAUACUAGGCUAGUACUCACAACUGUCCCAUUUAGACCCUGGUUCUGCAGCUGGCAAAACAACCUACUGGCAGCGGUGGGAUUCGAACCCACGCCUCCGAAGAGACUGGAGCCUUAAUCCAGCGCCUUAGACCGCUCGGCCACGCUACCAACUGUGGGCAAACCUGUCUCUACUCUUUGUGAUGGUAUCUACUUUCUGUUACAUCUCAGCUCUAUUUUAUAUAAUGUGUUCUCGGAGUAUUAAUUUCAAACAUCAUCUAAGAGCAAGUGAAGGAAGGGUUCAAGGAACAUCAGAGGUUUUUUCAUCUGCCACGCAGCGCUUAAAGGGGAAGAACUUCGUGAAUGAAUAAGUGAGUAAUGAAUGAAUGAAAUCUGUACCACACACUAGGCUGUGGGUCUUCUGCAGGUGUCACUACGUUUUGUUUUUGUUGGCUUCCUCUCAGUCUAGCCGCCAAUUUCUUAAGGAGAUAAACGAACGGUGAAGCUAAUUAAAGCCACAAAAACCCUAGCUUUGAAGGAGCAUGACUUAUCAAAAGGAGUUUUGGAGCAUUUGCAAAUAAAUGAGUGAGCACCUACUUAAAACUGGAAUCUUACCAACAACCUAAAGAUGCAGAUGGAACUUUACAGUCCCCCCUUUUACCAGCUGAGACAUCAAAGAAUGCACUCGUAUGGUUCCGCUGAAUUAUGUCUUCAAGAAGCCUCUCAGAUGAUUUUACACUCUGUUCCUAAGACACCUGGGGAUGUCUUCUUUCUGCUCUCACGGAAAGAGAGCUGAUGCCUACACUGUUUGAAUUUGACAGUUUUAGGACCUUAGAGGUCUCCCAGGUCGCCGCCUUGACAUCUUUGCCUUGCAAAUCCACCCUCGGAGUCUUCUCUUGCAGCUCCGGGGACUUGUGCGAGGAAAGGUCUAGGAGAGUAGAAGGCAGCCUUCAAGUUCCCUGGUGACAAACUCUGCCCCCCUGGCGGAAUCGUCAACACACCACCAAAAGCUAUGCCCAGGUCCUCCCGAAGGAGCUCCGUCUCUAGGCCUUCCUCCUAGCUCAGUGUCACAACGUGCUCAUUUCUUCGAGAAAAAUGUUUUGUCGAUAGAAGUCCUGCAGCUCCACAGAGGCCAGACUGGGGUUUCCAAUCCCUGACCCUGUCCUCUUCCACUAGAUGGUUUUCAUUAUAACAGAAUAUUCUGUCCUCGUUCACAGAUCGCCUUCAUUUGAUAGCUGACGCCAUUUUUCAAAAGAUCAUUCGGGCUCCUUCGGGAUUUUAACUCAGCAUAUCACAUCCAAAACAAUAAUUAAAUUCCUAGAGCAGCAGUUCUUAGCCCUGGUUGUUCAUCAGAAACAUGUGAGGAAACUUGAAAAUUUCGAUGUCGAAGCCGCACCCUAGACCAGUUACAUCAGAAUCUCUGCAGGUGAUAUCCCAGCAUCAGUGUUUUGUAAAGUUUCCCAAGUGCAGCUAACAUUAAAAAAAAAAAAAAGACAAAAACAAAAAAUCAACGCAAAAGCGUAUUCUAACAAGUCUGUUCUAUUUCUUUUAAGGACAUCUCACUUGUCCUGCCUGUCAAGUCAAAACAAGCUUAGCCAGCGGCUGUUUCUCUGGACACGUGCUGGGACACAGCCAAGAAAGAUCAUCACUGGGUUCAAUGCCUGGGUGGUAGUCUCCAAAUGCCGCCGCUUGGCUGCCAUUGCCAGACCAUGGAAAAGAUGGUGUGCCGGAAUGAUGUGAGGAUGUUCGUAGAUUACAAAGAGGAACCACAUAUAAGAAGGGCUCCUCACUAAUCCUUCUAUAAAUUCCUCUCUCUUUCAGUCCCGUUCUUUGACACAUCUCAGGAUGAUCCAGGGCUUCUAACUCUACCUUAUUCCCACCCACACACCUGUGGUGAGCUCUGGACUGAAAGCUUUAGUGCUAGGAGCAAAUACAUCCCUGAAAUGACACCUGAGAAUAGGUUUUCCUGGUUCAUAACUGCACGGAUCCUGAAUUGUUCAUUUAAUCGUCAGAGGCUGAUUUAAUUAACGUAGUGUUGGCUUCUCUUUGACCUCUGACAUAGCUUAUAGAAGAGAUGAGACAGAGAUGUCACUCCCAGAGCCACUGCACUCUUCCCAAAGUUUCCUCCCAGGAAUUGGGGAGAGUGUUGGAGAGGGCUAACCUUGGGGGAAGGUCUAGCACCAGUCUCAGAGAUGUCUGCACCAACACUAGAGAUUUUGUAAGUUAGGAAAGACAUGGAGGUUGUUGUGGGUAUUGUGCUGGACAAAUCAAGUGUGUGAGGAUGGUGGCCUGGUAUACUAGGGGCUUCCUCCAGACUCAACUGCACAGGCAACAGUCACACAGAUUGUGUUUCUGUUCUGUCUGGUGACUUGUCUUCCAGUGUGGUGGCCUUGGGAGGGUGAGAUGCAAUUAAUUGGGACUAGGAACAACUAUCUUCUAUUUCUUUGUCCCAGUUUUGUUGGUUGUGGAUCAACAAAAUGAAAGUCUCUCUUAGAAGAAUACAAUAAGGAGAUGCUGUAACUCAGGUUAAUGCACCAGGCAGGAGCUAAGAUGUCAAGUCCCCACGAGGCCUUAAUUGUUGCACUGUUUAUAUGCUGUCACUUAAUAAUCAGACCAAGAAAACUUCUCUGGUGAAUUUUAAUAAACAUUUCAGGGAAAAAUAAUGUCAUUUCAUGUUUGUGAAUGAGAAGAUUCAAUAUUGUUAAGAUAUCAAUUAUCCCUAAAUUGAUUUAUAGGUUCAAUGCAAUCUAAAUCAAAAUAACAAGUUUGUUUUUGUUUUUGCUUUUCAGAAAAUGACCAGUUGAUUCCAAAUUCACAUGGAAAUUCAAAGACAUAGCAUGCCCCAAACAACUUUGAAAAGAAAAACGAAGUUGGAGGACUCAUUCUGCCUGACAUCAAGCUGCUAUAAUUAAGACUGUAGUAUUGGCAUUAAGAUACAAAAAACAUAUCUGUGGGACAGGAGUACACAUGUAUUUCAACUAGUUGUUGACAAAAUUUCAAAGAUGAUUCAGUAGGGAAAGAGUCUUUUCAAUGAAUGAUUUUUUUUAAAAAGUAAUUUUGAAAAAAAUUUUUGACCCCUACUUCACACUGGAUAAAAAAUUAACUCAAAAUGGAUCAUAAAUCAAAACUAUAAAAUACUUAGAAUAAAAUCUUUGUCAACUUGUGCUGGGGGAAGAUUUCUUAGAUGCAAUAUUAAAAGCAUGAUUCAUAAAAGAAAAGCAUGAUAAAUUGUACUUCAUAAAGUUAAGAAUCUCAGCCCUUCGUAAGUCUUUAGGGAGGAUUUUGCCUCCUAGGGGACAUUUGACAUUGUCUGGAGAUAUUUUCAGUUAUCACAACUGGUAUGAUACCACUGGUAUCUACUGGGUAAAGGCAAGGGAUGCUGCUAAACAUCCUACAAUACAUAUGACAAGCCCCCACAUUAAAGAGCAAUCCAAAAUGUCACUAUUGUAGAGGAUGACUAGAGUAACAAGCCACGUGGACAAAUUUAUCUCUUCUCCUUUAGGGCACAGGCCAGUCAGGGCCAUCACCACCUACUAAAAUGAACCGAUGACUCCUUUUCAAAGGCUUGAGGAAGGGACAAUGCCUAGAUUGAAACCUGGGUGCAAACCAUGCCCAAAGCACCCUUUGGGUACCAAAGGCAGUGUACAUGGGGGCAGGAAAGGCAUUGCCCUCAAAGGUCAGAAAAUGAGAAUGUUCCUUAAAGAGCUCAAAUUUUGACCUUGAGCCCAUCCUGGGACACUUUGCGGGCUGGGCGGGGAGUCAGCGUAGUCUUCCUUGACUGGUUCAAGCCUGGGUAUUGAAUCACUUCCCCGGUCUGGUGAGAAGUAGCCUCCCUCGGCGAUUCCAUUCCUGCUUUCUCCUUUCCUGGCCUGCUGGUAGACCUGGAGGAGGAGACGGAAAGAGAAAGUGUGGGUGAGGGAGGGGGUGAUGUAGUAGCAGGGAGAUCAGCGGCAGGGGGAGAAAUGCAGAACUUCCUGUAGGAAAUAGUAGGGGUCCGAGAGGCGGUCAGCAGCAGGGGCUGUGCACUUUCCGCAAUACGCGCAACUGCUCGAAUUUUUCUGGUUUAAUACUUAGGAGCAAAUGCUGAGACAAAGUCUCACUUCACCCCCUGCUCCCCUCAGUGACCCACCCGACCUCACUCCACCUCACCCCACCUCACCCCACCCGUUUAUAGGACACAUGCACUUUCAAGGUUAUUUCAAGGUUUCAAGGCUCUCCACUUCUCUCUCAACUUGAAUGCCCCAGCUUAAAUGCCAUCCCUCUGGCAAGUCCUUAUCCGCUCCCUUCCAAACAACCCUUCCAAACAGAACAGAAGAUCGGGAGGAGUGGGUCUUUUCAGUGGUCUGAGCAUCUGUAUGACUUGCUACCUCCCUAAAGGUAAACUGUGAGCCAUUCAUUCACUGAUUCUCCCAGUCCAGAAAAUCCAGAUAUUAGAUCAAAUCCCUUAUGGAUUUACAGAACUUUUAUUUACAGAUACAGGCCGUGAUCACUUACCGUUAAGAAACAAAACCUUGGCAGCGGUGGGAUUCGAACCCACGCCUCCGAAGAGACUGGAGCCUAAAUCCAGCGCCUUAGACCGCUCGGCCACGCUACCAAGCCUACGGCACAAAAUUUCUUACACUUGGCUAGUUAUACCUUGCUGCACUUUUUUUCAGCGUUGUCCUCUGCUCCCGGACCAGAAACCAUGAGUCUAGGUAUCACCAAAGCACCCUAAGAGAGUUCUUCCCUCCCUUCUGUGCUUUACUGGGACUCUCUUCUCACUUUAAGAACUAAAAGGGAAGAGCCUUCAAAACAAAAUAUCCGUUCCAGAAGCGCAGCUCUUGGGAUCUAGAAUGUAACAGCUUUCCGAAGACAGGGAUCGCAUCAGCUUCCACCUGGCGCCCAGUAAGCGCUGGAAAACGGUUGAAAGGGCGAAUGAACUCCUUGGUCUAGACUCCAGAUCGCUUGCGGAUAGUGGUGGUGGUAGCGGUGGAGUAAGAGCAAAGCUG